UCGGUGUUCGACUAAGCCAUGCAAGUCAUAUGUUCCUCGUGAACAUGGCAUACUGCUCAGUAACACGUGGAUAACCUGCCCUUGGGUCUGGGAUAACCCCGGGAAACUGGGGAUAAUAUCGGAUAACGCAUAUGUGCUGGAAUGCUUUAUGCGUAAAACGGAUUCGUCCGCCCAAGGAUGGGUCUGCGGCCUAUCAGGUAGUAGUGGGUGUAAUGUACCUACUAUCCAACAACGGGUACGGGUUGUGAGAGCAAGAGCCCGGAGAUGGAUUCUGAGACAUGAAUCCAGGCCCUACGGGGCGCAGCAGGCGCGAAAACUUUACAAUGCGGGAAACCGUGAUAAGGGAACACCGAGUGCCAGCAUCAUAUGCUGGCUGUCCAGAUGUGUAAACUACAUCUGUUAGCAAGGGCCGGGCAAGACCGGUGCCAGCCGCCGCGGUAACUCCGGCGGCCCGAGUGGUGACCGUUAUUAUUGGGUCUAAAGGGUCCGUAUCCGGUUUGGUCAUUCCUCCGGGAAAUC
rnacentral:rRNA from 1 species